CGGGGGUCGCUGGCUCUGCUGCUGCCGCCGGCGAAGGAGGAGGCGUUGCCGGUUUUCUGAGUUUAACCAGUAAUGCCAUUCAGUUGCCAAUCUCAAGCAAAGCAAACAUAAGCCAGUUUUAAUCUACUUUUUAAGAAAAGUGGUAGUCCUUUUCACAGUGCCUGACGUAACUGUAUCAGAGGGUGAGGUAUAAGCUCACAGAAUUCAGAUAAAUCAUCAUGAAGUUAUAUGUAUUUCUGGUUAACACUGGAACUACUCUAACAUUUGACACUGAACUUACAGUGCAAACUGUGGCAGACCUUAAGCAUGCCAUUCAAAGCAAAUACAAGAUUGCUAUUCAACACCAGGUGCUGGUGGUCAAUGGAGGAGAAUGCAUGGCUGCAGAUCGAAGAGUGUGUACCUACAGUGCUGGGACGAAAUGAUCUUAUGUGAUCGUCCACCUGCUAUUCCUAAAACUACCUUUUCGACAGAAAAUGACAUGGAAAUAAAAGUUGAAGAAUCUCUUAUGAUGCCUGCAGUUUUUCAUACUGUUGCUUCAAG
rnacentral:lncRNA from 1 species